AUCUUUCUUGCCCAGCAGUAUCCCUGCACAAAUAGAAUAAGAAAUUUCAAACACCAGAACUGCAGGAACAAAAUGGAAGAGACCAUACAUCAUUAUAACCAAUGUAAUGUAACAAUCACUAAUGAGACUUCAUGAGAAAGCAUAAACAGAUGUUCAUUGCCCUAAAGCACGUUAGUUCUUGAGACUUGAGUACAGACCAACAUAAUAUCCUUGACACAACUCAAGCAUGGCUUCAUCUUGGAAAAGGACUACAAUAAAAACAAAACACCCUACAGGUAACAAUCUUGAUACUACAACCACUAAAAACAAUACCGGCAAGGCUGCAAGUAACGGAUCACCCAAUAACGAAUAAUGAUGCCCAAUCUAGGUGUGAGCUACUAUGAGUAGUUUGGACAUUCGCUUCCACAUUUGAUUAAGAGCACUUGCCCAAGUAUAUCCCUUGAUAUUCGGAUCAUCUAAAAAGACAAGGAUUCCAAGAUAAUCGCCACAAUUACAGUCCCAAUCCUAACACUCAUAGGACUCUGAGACAAGGGAAUUUAUACUAAAGCCUAUAUAAAGACCAUCAAAUAAGUACGUGAAUCUCUAAUUGAAUCCUAUUCAUUCACAGCUCAAUUUUCAUGACUAACUUAAGUGAUGGUUAACCCACCCAGUGUUCUCCAUUGUUCUAACUCACCCGGAGUUCUCCAUUGUUGUCUUGUAGAAGAGGAGAACAACAUUAUCAAUUAAUAACUUGUCAUAUUGAAAUAUUUUUUCCAGAAUAAUAACAUUAAUUCCACAUUUUUUCCAUAUUUGGAAUGCCUAGGACAAUUAUUCAAUAGAAAGCGAUUCUUGGCCAAACUAAUAACCGAUCCAUUUUCAAGGAAAAAGCUUUCUGUUUCCACAAGAAAAAGAAU
rnacentral:misc_RNA from 1 species